CAGCUCAAAUUGGGUGGUAAAUUCCAUCUAAAGCUAAAUAUUGGCGAGAGACCGAUAGCGAACAAGUACCGUGAGGGAAAGAUGAAAAGCACUUUGGAAAGAGAGUUAACAGUACGUGAAAUUGUUGGAAGGGAAACGCUUGAAGUCAGACUUGCUUGCCGGAGCUUGCUUCGGUUUGCAGGCCAGCAUCAGUUUUCCGGGGUGGAUAAUGGUGGUUUGAAGGUAGCAGCCUCGGCUGUGUUAUAGCUUUCCACUGGAUACAUCCUGGGGGACUGAGGAACGCAGCGUGCUUUUUGCGAAGGUUUCGACCUUUUCACGCUUAGGAUGCUGGUGUAAUGACUUUAAACGACCCGUCUUGGAACACGGACCAAGGAGUCUAACAUCUAUGCGAGUGUUUGGGUGUAAAACCCAUGCGCGUAAUGAAAGUGAACGGAGGUGGGAAGCGCAAGCUGCACCAUCGACCGAUCCUGAUGUCUUCGGAUGGAUUUGAGUAAGAGCAUAGCUGUUGGGACCCGAAAGAUGGUGAACUAUGCCUGAAU
rnacentral:rRNA from 11 species